CCGGACAGAGCCGGGGCGCGCGGAACCACCACCCCGGACAGGCCGCAGGGCCCUGCCCCGCGCCGCCUCCGGUUUCUCGGCCGCUUCCGCCUCCGGGUGCCUGACCCGGCGGGCGGGUGAGCUGAGCCGCUCGCGCGCAGUGCUCGACCGUGGGAGCCGGCCGCGCGGAGGAUUCGGCCAUUAGUCCCGGCCGGCCAGCCAGGCAGCCAGGCAGCAGCGCGUCCCCAGCCGGGGUGCCCAGCCAACGCCACCCACCUCCCGUGUGAAUCACGGGGUGAGGCUACGAUGAGAAGAUGGUCACGUGCAAGCCAGGAAGGGAAGUGAACUGGGGUGCACCUUGACCCUGUACUUCUCAGCCUCCAGAAUACAGUGGGAGUGAACCAUCUUGGACAUAGCUGCUUCAGGCCUGUAGAGUCUGUGGAGGACAAGAGCCCAGCCCCUGUCUUGCCUGCAGCCUCAAGAACAGUCUUCAGCCAAAACCG